UAGCUCUUCGGAGCCUCUGUACAGGUGGUGCAUGGUUGUCGUCAGCUCGUGUCGUGAGAUGUUGGGUUAAGUCCCGCAACGAGCGCAACCCUUGUUGUUAGUUGGUAACACGUAAAGGUGACCACUCUAACGAGACUGCCGGUGACAAAUCGGAGGAAGGUGGGGACGACGUCAAAUCAUCAUGCCCCUUAUGUCCUGGGCUACACACGUACUACAAUGGCUACAACAAAGGGAAGCGAAGCCGUAAGGCGGAGCAAAUCCCCAAAAGUAGUCCCAGUUCGGAUUGUGGGCUGCAACCCGCCCACAUGAAGUCGGAAUUGCUAGUAAUGGCAGGUCAGCAUACUGCCGUGAAUACGUUCCCGGGCCUUGUACACACCGCCCGUCACACCAUGAGAGUCAGCAACACCCGAAGUCAGUAGCUUAACCGCAAGGAGGGCGCUGCCGAAGGUGGGGCCGAUGAUUGGGG
rnacentral:rRNA from 1 species